CCUACGGGGGGCAGCAGUGAGGAAUAUUGGUCAAUGGACGGAAGUCUGAACCAGCCAUGCCGCGUGCAGGAAGACGGCUCUAUGAGUUGUAACCUGCUUUUGUACAAGGGUAAACCUGAAUACGUGUAUUCAGCUGAAAGUACUGUACGAAUAAGGAUCGGCUAACUCCGUGCCAGCCGCCGCGGUAAUACGGAGGAUCCAAGCGUUAUCCGGAUUUAUUGGGUUUAAAGGGUGCGUAGGCGGAUUGAUAAGUUAGAGGUGAAAUGUCCGAGCUUAACUCGGGAACUGCCUCUAAUACUGUUGAUCUAGAGAGUAGAUGCGGUAGGCGGAAUGUAUGGUGUAGCGGUGAAAUGCUUAGAGAUCAUACAGAAAACCGAUUGCGAAGGCAGCUUACCAAUCUAUAUCUGACGUUGAGGCACGAAAGCGUGGGGAGCAAACAGGAUUAGAUACCCGAGUAGUC
rnacentral:rRNA from 1 species